AAAAAAAGCAUUCAUCUUUCCAUUAUUGGGUGAAGUGGGUUUAUUAAAGUCUCAGGAUCUGGGAUGGAAUCUCUGUUCAUUUACUGAUUGUGUAACUUUGUGUCUUGGGUCUCAGUUUCUUCGUUUUAUAAAUGGAGGAGGAAGAACAUGUCUAGUUGAACAAAACUUGCCACUGAAUGGCAUUUUUCCCUUUUUCUCCCUCCAGAAUUAUAUUUAUAUUGUAUAUUGAUACAGAUUGCUGACAUCUUUUGAGGAUCUACUUCUGCUGUCUCCAGAAAGUAACAUUUUUAUAGGCAAGAUCAAAGCUGGAUUGAAAAAAGGUUGAUAUUAGGAAAAAAUCACACGUCCAUAAAAGAAUCCAAUAAGAUAGGUGAACUCUUAUCCCCCAAAUGCAAAACAACCCCAAGGGUAAGUGGCAGUAGCUGAGCAAGUGGUGACAUAAGAUAUGAAGGUGAAGCUGAUGUUGAAGAUGAUGAGUGAAGAAUGUUAACCAGAAUAUAUUACUGACAGCAUCAAAUAGCAGUGAGGUCCAGACACAGAAGAGAGUCCAGAAGGGGACAAUGAAAUCAACAAGCCAUCGCUAUAAUUUUUGCUAAAGUUAAUGCAUUUUCUAACUGUUAUAAAUGACAGUUUAUAGUUUCAUGCAAGCUCCUUUUUAUUUUGUUUUUGAAUCUUUGAGUAGACUGAAAGCUCCCUAUGUAUAGGUAGGAACUGUUUCACUUUGUAUUCUCAAUAUACCUAGCUUAUUAACUUGUUGAUUUUACUAAGUGCUUACUUCCAUUUAUCUUCAUAGAGCCUGCACUAAUAAACUCAGUGUUAGUCA